UCUCUUGGAGCUCUAGCUCACCUCUCUGGUAUUGUUCUCAUCUGAUUAAUCUAGUUCUUGUCAGUUCUUCUUGAACUUCUUGUUAGAUCUCGAGUCUGUAUUUCUGUGUCCGUGACAGUUUGUCGAGACUGCACUCACCUCAGAUAUCAGAGCUAGUUUCUUCUUUGUUAGAGUGUGGAUUACCCCUCUGCUUGGAAGUAUACUAGCACUUUAGAGGUUGCGGAUUAC
rnacentral:lncRNA from 1 species